rnacentral:rRNA from 1 species
GUACUUCAGCAGUGAGGAAGGUGGAUAUGUUAAUAGCAUAUUCAUUUGACGUUAGCUGCAGAAGAAGCACCGGCUAACUCCGUGCCAGCAGCCGCGGUAAUACGGGAGGGUGCGAGUCGUUAAGUCGGAAUUACGUGGGACGUAAAGCGCAUGCAGGUGGUUUGUUAAGUCAGAUGUAGAAACGGCCCGGGGCUACAACCUACGGAAUUGCUAUUUAGAAACUGGCAAACUAGAGUACUGUAGAGGGGGUAGAAUUUCAGGUGUAGCGGUGAAAUGCGUAGAGAUCUGAAGGAAUACCGGUGGCGAAGGCGGCCCCCUGGACAGAUACUGACACUCAGAUGCGAAAGCGUGGGGAGCAAACAGGAUUAGAUACCCUGGUAG